GAGAAAGAAAGAAGGACUGCUAAUCUUUCAAACCACUUAUAAAAAAUGGCUUUCUCA
rnacentral:tRNA from 1 species